rnacentral:rRNA from 1 species
GAUGAACGCUGGCGGCGUGCCUAAUACAUGCAAGUCGAGCGAACAGACGAGGAGCUUGCUCCUCUGACGUUAGCGGCGGACGGGUGAGUAACACGUGGAUAACCUACCUAUAAGACUGGGAUAACUUCGUGAAACCGGAGCUAAUACCGGAUAAUAUAUUGAACCGCAUGGUUCAAUAGUUAAAGACGGUUUUGCUGUCACUUAUAGAUGGAUCCGCGCCGCAUUAGCUAGUUGGUAAGGUAACGGCUUACCAAGGCAACGAUGCGUAGCCGACCUGAGAGGGUGAUCGGCCACACUGGAACUGAGACACGGUCCAGACUCCUACGGGAGGCAGCAGUAGGGAAUCUUCCGCAAUGGGCGAAAGCUUGACGGAGCAACGCCGCGUGAGUGAUGAAGGUCUUCGGAUCGUAAAACUCUGUUAUUAGGGAAGAACAAAUGUGUAAGUAACUAUGCACGUCUUGACGGUACCUAAUCAGAAAGCCACGGCUAACUACGUG